GCUGUAGAAGCCCGAAACAAGACAUUAACUAGAGCUCAGUUGGCUAAACAAAUUUUUCACUCAAAGGAGAGUAUAGUUGCAACCACUAAAUCCAAAAAGGACACGUUUGUUUUAGAAAGCGUUGAUUCUGCUGAUGAACAAUUUCAAAAUACUAAUGCUGAGACUCUCAGUACUAAUUGUAUUCCUAUUAAAAAUGGCAGCCUGUUAAUGGUUUCUGAUAGUGAGAGGACAACAGAAGGGACUUCGCAACAGAAAGUUAAGGAAGGAAAUGGAAAAACAGUGCCUGGAGAGACAGGUCUUCCAGGUUCCAUGAAAGAUACAUGUAAAAUUGUACUUGCAACACCAAGACUUCAUAUAACAAUACCUCGGAGGUCAAAAAGAAAUAUUUCAAAGCUUUCUCCUCCAAGAAUAUUUCAAACUGUUACAAAUGGACUUAAAAAAAAUCAGGUAGUUCAGCUACAGGAAUGGAUGAUUAAAAGCAUCAAUAAUAAUACUGCUAUAUGUGUAGAAGGAAAAUUGAUGAUAUCCAAAUUAUCUCAUAAGGAAAUUUAUGUUUGGAUUUCCAGAAAAUUGGAAAGAGCACAUUGAUAAUUUUCUGGAACAAUUAAGAGAUGGGGUUUCGUCAUGUUGGCCAGACUGGUCUCGAACUCCUGGCUACAAGUGAUCCGCCUGUCUCAGCCUCCCAAAGUGUUGGGAUUACAGGCAUGAGCCACUGUGCCUGGCCUGAGGGCUGGUGAAAAGAACAGGGAAAAGACCAAACAAAAACAGAAAACUGGAAGAUCUGUCCGUGACAUAAGGAAAUCAAUGAAAAAUGAUGCACGAGAAAACCAAACAGAUACUGCUCAAAGAGCCACCACCACUUACGAUUUUGAUUGUGAUAAUUUGGAACUGAAGAGUA
rnacentral:lncRNA from 1 species